AUUGAACGCUGGCGGCAGGCCUAACACAUGCAAGUCGAGCGGAGCGGCGGACGGGUGCGUAAUGCCUAGGAAUCUGCCUGGUAGUGGGGGAUAAAGUUCGGAAACGGGCGCUAAUACCGCAUACUCUCAGAUGAGCAUAGGUCGGAUUAGCUAUAUGGUGGGGUAAAGGCCCACCCAGGCGACGAUCCGUAACUGGUCUGAGAGGAUGAGCAGUCACACUGGAACUGAGACACGGUCCAGACUCCUACGGGAGGCAGCAGUGGGGAAUAUUGGACAAUGGGCGAAAGCCUGAUGCAGCCAUUCCGCGUGUGUGAAGAAGGUCUUCGGAUUGUAAAGCACUUUAAGUUGGGAGGCGUUACCAACAGAAUAAGCACCGGCUAACUCCGUGCCAGCAGCCGCGGUAAUUC
rnacentral:rRNA from 1 species